UAAUGGACCUUUAAAAUCUUAAACUUAAAAACGCUUAAUACUGACAAGCCAUGCCACACUGUCUGCCUUCAAACCAAAAGUGCCACACAGAAUAAUAGAUUUAAGUGCAAACUCCAUCAAGUCUGACUUCCAGAAGAGCAGAAACAACUUCUCCAAACAGGAGUAGGAAAACAUGGGUGUGUGGUUUACAACAAAAAUACUUGUGAGAUUACAUGUAAACAGUGCAAUCAAUCUUUUGUGUAUAACACUGCAUGUGUGCAUAUUUUGUUUUUUUCUGACACUCCUGUCACUCCACUUCUCAGGUCGUCAUACAUCUCCUAGACACAUGGAGACCUCCUGCAGUAGGCCACAUAAUGUCCAAGAGCGUCCUGGAUUAAGCCUCCUUUGAAAGCAAUGACUGCCCUUAAAGUAAAUCUCUCUCCUUGGAGCAUCAGAUUGGAGGGAAAUUCACUCAAAGGAAAUUCUAUGGAGUUGCUUCCCAGAGGGACACUGAUGGACUUUGGAUUGGCCUGAGACAGGGGGACUCCGGAAGGUUAAGGCCUUCUUCCACUGCGGUCUGAAGAUAAGCGAUACCAGAAGCCUGCAAUACAGCAACAGAAGUACAAACAAACGUGGAGAUGUGGCACUGUGCGUCGAUUUGGAGAGCACCAGACUUCAGUUGGACAGGUUUGAAUAUUCCACUCAGCAGCUCUGCCCUCUGUAUGUAGGCCUGUGCAUUCAGACCCUUUGUGGUGAUGGUUUUCACUAGCUGGAGGAGGUUGUUGGAGUCCUCACCACAAGCAAUAUUUGCAAAGGUGACACUAUCACAGAAAGCACAACAUAAGCAUUGACAAAAAGCA